rnacentral:rRNA from 1 species
GUCUAUGGUCAUACCACCCUGAACACGCCCAAUCUCAUCAGAUCUCAGAAGCUAAGCAGGGUCAUGCCUGGUUAGUACUCAGAUGAGAGAAAGGAUACUAAUAACA